UUCGGAUUGACAGCUCGAGCCCGCCUGUCCUUUCCCCGCAGUCACGAUGACAUGACCCCGCCUUCCUAGCUGGCCCGUAAGGAGACGACCGUGACUGCAACAGACAAGAAUGGGGAUCAGUGCCUUUGUCUAUAUUGGAAGAUGGCGACGGGCAGGGUGUGAGAAAAUGGCCGCCUGAGUCACAUGUCUUGCCGAGUAUCCCUCACCUGAAAGAGGGGAAGAGAAGGAGAAAGAGGAAGAGAAACAUCAACAUGUGGUUGCCUCUCAUGUGUCCUCUACUGAGGGCCUGACCUGGCCCGCGACCCCAGCAUGUUCCCCAACUGGGAAUUGAACCUGUGACCAUUUGGUUCACAGGUCAGCACUGAAUCCACUGAGCAACACCAGCCAGGGCUUCUGUGUUUUCACAUAUUUGAUGAAUAGCUAUUACUUUAGGGAGGUUUUUUCUAUUCUUUAAAUUCUGUUUCAACUCUUACUUCCCAUUUUUAUUUCCCUCAUGUUUUUACACAAACGGUGAGAUACUAAACAUACUGUUAUACAUGUUGCUUUUUUCACUUAAUAAUACUUCUUGGAGAUCUUUUCAUAUCAGAGCAUUAGAGAGCUGCCAGUACAUAUAGAAAGUCAUUGUAUGAAAGCGGGUGGAGUACUUCCUCAAAAUGUUAUAUUAUGUGGAUGUACAAUAUUUUAUUUAAUCACUGCAGUCCCCUGUUGAUGACUGCUUGGGUGCAUUAGACAUUUCAUACACACAUAUUUCUGUAGGGUACCUUUGGCGGAUAUUGCCAAAAAUUUCCUAACGUUGGCGUACCAUUUUGCACUCACCAUCCAUGGAUGAGGUUAUUUGUUUCACCAAAGCCUCACCAACGAAGUGUAUUCUUAAAGACUUCUUCUAUUUUUCUGUCAGGUUGUUGGCCUUUCUUUGAUUUCUAGAAUCUUGUUAUAUAAUUACAAUGCUUACUACCAGCAAUAUGAAUGUUAAACUGUGAAUGAUAUCCCUUCUCAGUAUUUUCUCCCAGUUUGUCAUUCUUUUUCUUUGCUAAUGAAUUUUUCCAAGCAAAUUAUAUUUUUAUAUAAAAAACUAUCUGUGUUUUCUUUUAUGAAUUCUAGAUUUUGAGGAGAUAGUUUUGCAAUGCAUUGCAUUAAUGACCCCAAUUUGUCAUGUGUUUCUGUAUCCACACCCUUUGGUAUUUCUCUCCCAUGCUAACUCUGAGUUUGACCAUAUAACUUGCUUUAACAAACAAGAUAAUAUCAAACUUGAUAUACUUGAAAAAGCUCUUGCAUAUUCUGCUUCCUCUCUUGGAACCCUGCUACUGCUAUGAGAACAUAUGCAGGCUAGCCUGCUGGAGGGAUGUGAGACACACGUAUGAAUGAGCCUGGUCCUUCCAGCCAAGGCAUCUUAUAGCAGCCAGUCUCCAGCCAAGCCACCAGCUCAGGAUAUAGCCCACUUGAGAUCAGCAGAGCCAGAUCCAUAUUGUAGAACCUCCCAAGUGGCCCAUGGACUUGUAAGUUUUGGUACAUAAAUGUUCAUUUUGGUUUUUUAUACAGCAUAUUGUGGCAAUAGUCUUCCAUCACUGUUCUUCCUUUUCAGAGAUAUCCUGGCUGUGCUUGCUUGUUAUUUUUCCACUCAAAAUUGAAUUCAGCUUGUCUAGUUUCAAGAGAAAAUUAUAUUUUAAAGACCUUAUAUUAAACAUGAAUUAUUUUGAUAUCUUCAUAACUUUGAGUCUUCCUAUUGAAGAAUGUGGGAUGCCUAUCCAUUUGUUCCUCCCAAGUUUUAUAAAAGUUUUCUCAUAAAGAUUUUGGACAUUUCGCCCUGGCUGAUGUGGCUCAGUGGAUUGAGUGCUGGCCUGCAAACCGAAGGGUCACUGGUUCAAUUCCCAGUCAGGGCACAUGUCUGGGUUGCAGGCCAGGUCCCCAAUAGGGGACAGUCAAGAGGCAACCAUAUAUUGAUGUUUCUGUCCCUCUCUGUCUCCCUCCAUUCCCCUCUCUAAAAAUAAAUAAAUAAAAUCUUUUUAGAAAGAUUUUGGAGAUUUCUUUUCAAGAUUUUUCUAAGUAUUUGCUAUACACUGAAUGUUUGUAAAGUCCCAAAAUUUAUAUUUUGAAACCUAAUCCCCAAUGUGAUGGUAAUAAGAGGUGGGACCUUUGUAAGAUUAUUAGGUCAUGAGGGUGGGGCCCUCAUGAAUGGGAUUAGUACCCUUAGAAAAGAUGCCCCUGAGAGCUCUCUUGCCCUUCCACCAUGUGAGGAUACAGCUAGAAGAAGGCAGUCUGUGAAUCACGCACGAAACAGACCCUCAGCAGACAUUGAUUCUGCCUAUGCCUUGAUCUUGGACUUCCCACCCUCUAAAACUCUGAGAAAUAUCUGUUGUUUAUAAAGCACUGUCUGUGGUUCUCUGUUACAGCAGCCCCAGUGGACUAAGAUAGUAUUUUAUCUUAUUUGUUACUCUAAUAAAUGAAGCUUUCUCUUCCAUGAGUUCUAUAUAUUAAU